CAAGAGUACAGAGCAGGUGAUUUUCUAGGGAAACAAAAAUGGCGUCGGUUCCAGAUAUGAAGGCUCCAGCUACCCAAAAUGAUGGGACAGACUCUUCAAACACACAGCUACUUGAAGACCUCCAAGACCAGUUGGUCUCCCUGAAGGAACAGAUGGAUCUAUGCAACACUGUUCUGAAGGACUUGGUGGACCUGCGGGGUAUUUUAAGGGAGAAGAACCUUAGCGAUGGAUCAUUCCCUGCGCCGAAGUGACUGAUUUUACUCAUGGUGGAAAUGUGAAUAAUUUUGUAUGUCAAUAAAUAAACUAUCAUGAAUCACGUAACUUCUUCGCUUAGGCAAAAAUGGGAGACCCGUCAUAAGGUUUCAUUAGUAUUAUAUUGCUCUCAAUUCAAAAUAAUUACUUUAUUAUGCAAUACUACUUUAUACAAAACAAGCAUAAGCAAACCAAUUUCACAUGAUACAUUCUUUUAAAAAUAKAAUUCCUUUACAACUUCAUUCUUUGGGUGUUGAAGACAUUCCUUUGGAAGCAUUACGUUUCCCCCUCGUUUUACCCAUUGAGUGUUCA